rnacentral:rRNA from 1 species
UUGCGGUUAAAAAGCUCGUAGUUGGAUUUCUGUUGAGGAUGACCGGUCCGCUCUUUGAGCGCGUAUCUGGUUCAGCCUUGGCAUCCUCUUGGGGAACGCUACUGUGCUUGAUUGCAUGUGGCGGUAUUCAAGACUUUUACUUUGAGGAAAUUAGAGUGUUCACUGCAAGCGUUAGCAAUUGAAUACAUUAGCAUGGAAUAAUAAUAUAGGACCUUGGUACUAUUUUGUUGGUUUCUAGAACUAAGGUAAUGAUUAAUAGGGACAAUUGGGGGCAUUCGUAUUAACGCGUCAGAGGUGGAAUUCUUAGAUUGCGUUACGACGAACUACUGCGAAAGCAUUUGCCAAGGAUGUUUUCAUUGAUCAAGAACGAAAGUAUGGGGAUCGAAGACGCUUAGAUACCGUCGUAGUCUAUACCAUAAACUAUGCCAACUAGAGAUUGGAGGU